UUGCGGCCAUUAUCACGUUGAAACACCAGUUCUCGUACGAUCACCGAAGUUAAGCAACGCCGAGCUUGCCUAGUACCUAGACGGAUGACCGCUUGGAAGUACCGGGUGCCGUAAG